CUGGGCGUAAAGCGUGCGUAGGCGGCUUUUUAAGUCGGAUGUGAAAUCCCCGAGCUUAACUUGGGAAUUGCACUCGAUACUGGGAAGCUAGAGUAUGGGAGAGGAUGGUAGAAUUCCAGGUGUAGCGGUGAAAUGCGUAGAGAUCUGGAGGAAUACCGAUGGCGAAGGCAGCCAUCUGGCCUAAUACUGACGCUGAGGUACGAAAGCAUGGGGAGCAAACAGGAUUAGAUACCCUGGUAGUCCAUGCCGUAAACGAUGUCUACUAGCCGUUGGGGCCUUUGAGGCUUUAGUGGCGCAGCUAACGCGAUAAGUAGACCGCCUGGGGAGUACGGUCGCAAGACUGAAACUCAAAUGAAUUGACGGGGGCCCGCACAAGCGGUGGAGCAUGUGGUUUAAUUCGAUGCAACGCGAAGAACCUUACCUGGCCUUGACAUACUAGAAACUUUCCAGAGAUGGAUUGGUGCCUUCGGGAAUCUAGAUACAGGUGCUGCAUGGCUGUCGUCAGCUCGUGUCGUGAGAUGUUGGGUUAAGUCCCGCAACGAGCGCAACCCUUUUCCUUACUUGCCAGCAUUUCGGAUGGGAACUUUAAGGAUACUGCCAG
rnacentral:rRNA from 1 species